CCUACGGGAGGCAGCAGUGGGGGAUAUUGCACAAUGGGGGGAACCCUGAUGCAGCGACGCCGCGUGGGUGAAGGAGUAUUUCGGUAUGUAAAGCCCUAUCGGCAGGGAAGAAAUUGGACGGUACCUGACUAAGAAGCCCCGGCUAACUACGUGCCAGCAGCCGCGGUAAUACGUAGGGGGCAAGCGUUAUCCGGAUUCACUGGGUGGAAAGGGAGCGUAGACGGCCAUGCAAGCCAGGGGUGAAAGCCCGGGGCCCAACCCCGGGACUGCCCUUGGAACUGCAUGGCUGGAGUGCGGGAGGGGGAGGCGGAAUGCCAGGUGUAGCGGUGAAAGGCGUAGAUAUCAGGAGGAACACCGGCGGCGAAGGCGGCCUGCUGGACCGCGACUGACGUUGAGGCGCGAAAGCGUGGGGAGCGAACAGGAUUAGAUACCCGGGUAGUC
rnacentral:rRNA from 1 species